rnacentral:precursor_RNA from 14 species
CGCUCCGUUUCCUUUUGCCUGAUUCCAGGCUGAGGUAGUAGUUUGUACAGUUUGAGGGUCUAUGAUACCACCCGGUACAGGAGAUAACUGUACAGGCCACUGCCUUGCCAGGAACAGUGCGACAGCUACCAAGUGGGG